rnacentral:tRNA from 1 species
GCCGGAGUGGCGCAAUUGGUUGACGCGAUGCACUCAAAAUGCAUUGUCCGAAAGGGCGUGCGGGUUCGAGUCCCGCCUCCGGCA